UCUGGUUCUAGUCUGGGCCUCAAUUUGAUGGGGCUUCCUCAUCAAUCAAGGCAGAUUUCUGUUCUGCAGGGGUAGACCCUCUCUGCCAAGUGACUUUAUGGGGGCCAUCAUGACUGUUAAAUUUGAUUCAGGCAAGAUGCACCACUGGGCGAAUUUUAUUGUGAAUUCUCUAUGCCAAGAACUCCUACAAUCUGUCAUCUGAGAAAGCCCCAGAAUGUUGAGACAGGAGCCAAACUGCUCUGCAAGCCAGUACUGGGGACUGAAUUCAGGACCUUGCACUUGCCAGGCAGGCAUGGUGCCACUGAGCUACAUCUCUAGCUUGAACAUUUGUAUCAGAUGGGGUCACUAUACGCCAGCGGGUGUGGAGCAGGCUGUUGGGGACCCUCUCUAGGGAAUACCAAAUGACGGCCGGACUAGUGCACAGUGCAGCAUCCUGCAAAGACUCUGAGCCCUUCUGCUCCGGGGGCAAGGAGACCAUUGGGAAUCUGGGUCCUCCAGUGGAUUGGCCUGGAAUGGCUAAUUAGAAGCUUGACCUUUCACAUGUCUGGGGAAUGUGAGUCUCCAGAACCCAACAAGAUUGGAACAAGGAAGCUCAUACCCUCAAUGCUGUUGGCAGCCACUCUGUGGCCAUGAGAUCCAGCUUUAAAAUGAUCCUUUGAGUAACAGAGCAAAGAGGCAGAAAGAUACUUGGGUUUUGAUGACUUCAAUGGAUAUUGGAUCAGUCAAUACCCUGAAAUCUGUCCUCUGGAUUCUAGAUAGAUGAAGAAAGUGAAAGCUCGGAGAGGCGAAGUGCUUGAUGUCACAUGGUUAGGGAGCUACUGAAAUUCAGCUAAGCAAAUAAUUGAUUAAAAGAAGAUCGAACUCGGGUCCUUGCACUUGUGCAACCACUGAGCUAAAUCCCAGGCCCUUGCUGAUCUUAUAAAGGAGAGAAAUGUGGACACAGGAGAUCCAGAAGAUGUGGCAGGAUCCAAGGAAUGCCAAAGAUUGCCAGCAAAACAGCAGAAGUUAGGAAAAGGCCAUGGGACAGAUUCUCUUGCACAUCCUCAAAAGGAACCAACCCCACUAACACCUUGAUCUUGGACUUCUGGCCUCCUGACAUGUGAGAUGGCAAACUACUUAGUUUGUGGUACUCUGUUACAGUAGUCCAGCAAACUAAUACAGAUAAUGUAAGCAAAUACAGUCUGUGAAUCUGAUGACACUACCGAAAAUGUAUGAUUACUGCUUUAUUGUUUGUGAAGAUGUUGUUGAACCGGUUAGUGGAAAAUAAUCAC
rnacentral:lncRNA from 1 species